rnacentral:miRNA from 4 species
AUUGGUCCCCUCCAAGUAGCUC